CCAUAAAAAAAAUUCUGAAUUUGCCCAUGUCUAUGGAUUUAGUUAUGCACAACUAUCACGAUAUGUUAUCCGAAUAUACUAUUUUAUUUGAAACAAUACGAAGGUAUUGUUAUAUGUAGCAGAGGUGAUCAUGGGCUAGCCUGGGCCAGUUUCGAGCUGGGCCCAAGUAAAAAUUUAGACUCGUUUGCUAUGAUCAGACCCGGCUCGACUCGAAAAAUGAGCCUAAAAAUUUACCGAAACCUAG
rnacentral:lncRNA from 1 species